UUGGAGGGCAAGUCUGGUGCCAGCAGCCGCGGUAAUUCCAGCUCCAAUAGCGUAUAUUAAAGUUGUUGCAGUUAAAAAGCUCGUAGUUGAAUUUCGGGGUCAGUAGGUUGGUCGUGCCACUGGUACGUACUGGUCUCACUGAUUCCUCCUUCCUGAUGAGCUGUAAUGCCAUUAAUUUGGUGUUGCAGGGAAUCUGGACUGUUACUUUGAAAAAAUUAGAGUGUUUAAAGCAGGCUUACGCUUGAAUACAUUAGCAUGGAAUAAUGAAAUAGGACGUUUGAUUCUAUUUUGUUGGUUUCUAGGAUCGACGUAAUGAUUAAUAGGGAUAGUUAGGGGCAUUAGUAUUCAAUUGUCAGAGGUGAAAUUCUUGGAUUUAUUGAAGACUAACUACUGCGAAAGCAUUUGCCAAGGAUGUUUUCAUUAAUCAAGAACGAAAGUUAGGGGAUCGAAGACGAUCAGAUACCGUCGUAGUCUUAACCAUAAACUAUGCCGACUAGGGAUCGGAUGAUGUUAAUUUUAUAAUGACUCAUUCGGCGCCUUACGGGAAAC
rnacentral:rRNA from 2 species